UACAGAGGGUGCGAGCGUUAAUCGGAAUUACUGGGCGUAAAGCGCGCGUAGGCGGCUUUUUAAGUCAGGGGUGAAAUCCUGGAGCUCAACUCCAGAACUGCCUUUGAUACUGGCGAUCUUGAGUCCGGGAGAGGUGAGUGGAACUGCGAGUGUAGAGGUGAAAUUCGUAGAUAUUCGCAAGAACACCAGUGGCGAAGGCGGCUCACUGGCCCGGUACUGACGCUGAGGUGCGAAAGCGUGGGGAGCAAACAGG
rnacentral:rRNA from 1 species